UCUCUAGCUGGAGAUCCUUCUAUGAGCCCAGGACACAGUACCUAAAACCACAUGGGAAGUGCGACGAUGGUACCUGCUGUGUGACCACUGGAUUUUCCUGUUGAAAUUCCCAUUCCUGGUUCCUAUGCAGGGCCGCUUCACCUCCACGCACAUGUAAGAAGUGAGAGCAAGGUCCAUUCUGAGCUGAACACCAGUGAGGCACCAUGCUUAAGUAAUUGUUUCAGUCUUCUGAGUAUUCACUGUACGUUUCAAGAAGAGUUGUUUAUGAGAUCAUGAAAUCAGCGCAUCCUGAGGCCAGCUGUAACUUAGAAAGUACCAUAAUCAGAUGGAAGUAUCCUUAAGUUGAGCCAGUGAGUCUGUAGGGAGCAUUGCACUGCAACUUAAACGUCCGUAUGUGCAGCAAACCUGAACCCCUCUGUGAAAUGGGAGAGUGAAUGGUAGCAUUUAACUGCUCAUAAACCACGGACAUUAUUUUAUAGGAAAAUGUCCAGGUGGCAAACCUGCCCCUCUCUGAACACCCUGGCAGCUCCAUCACUGAAGCCAGUCCUUGAACCCCUUUUAUUCUAGGAAUUAUGACUGGAUAAACAUAUUUGUAUACAUCGUCUUCAGAAGUGCUGUCAGCAGGGGACUGCAGCAGCUCUCUGAGCUCAUCCAGAGACUGAUUGGAAUUCCCUGCUCAUAGCAUUUGCAGGUUCAAUAUCAUUAUUGUUAAUGGUCACUGUGUGUGUGGCUCCAGAUGAAAACAGCCACCACGUGUUGGAUUGCCCACAGCCAAGCCAUCCCAGCACCACGCUCUUGCUGUGCCAAGCUGAGUGUGAGGACAUGGCACACCGGCCCUGCCGUGUCAGUGGUGGGGAUGCACACUGCAAUGAAGUGUCAAGCUGCUUCCACAGGCUGCUUGGAGAGCACAGCUUCAUUUCUCACUAUGGAAACAGUACAGCCAAAGAUGUCAGCAUAAAUCUAAGAGCAGGAUCACACUUCUGUGCAGCAUGAUGAUAAUCUAUGAAAAGCACCUUCCAAGGGAGAAUGAUUCCAUAGAAAUGGCUUUGCCCACUGACACUGUAUCUCAAUUGUGAUGCACCCUGUGCAGGCAAGGAAAGAUUUCUCAUUGUGGUGGUAUGGGAUGGUGCUGGU
ensembl:lncRNA